rnacentral:misc_RNA from 1 species
AAGGGCUUCUUUGUUUAACUCUACCCUUUAAUCCUUUGACAUUUAGGUUGGGUAGGGGAUCCUAUUCUACCCUAUGGCUAAUCCCUGUGCCCCAAAGGUUGCAUAAACAAGUAAAAUGAGAAGUGGCCUAUGAGAAAAGACAUAUUUCAUUGCUAUAGUAAUGGUGUGAGCCUGUGAGCUAUACUCUGGGACCAAGGAAUGCAAUUGUGUUCAUGAUUUGUUUUGUGUGUGUAUGCUUUUAAGAUAUCAAAAUGACAUAAGUAGCAAGUAAAUUACUUGUGUGUGUGCUUGUUAUCUUCUUAAUGAUGAAGUAAAUAAAAAGGUAAAGUGGAUGAAACAUGUCCAAACCACUAAGGAAUGAAAUAAAAACCAAAA